UGAAGGCUGAGUGGCCAUUGAGACCAUAUGCCAAUUAACUAACUUGUUGUCUUUUUUUGUAAAAGGAUCCUCAAGAUCUAAAAGAAGACAGUCAACCCCAGAUGAGUUUUGUGAUGACUCUGCACCUAUAGUUAUCCCACAGACCAGUGAUGGCCCAGAAACAGGACCCCGAAGAUCCAAAAGAGGACAGCGGACCUCUGUUACGCCUGGCAGUUUUGAGCCUGCUGCCACAGGAUCCUCAAGAUCUAAGGAAAGACAGCGACCUGAGUCUGACAGUGGUGACCCUGAAACAGGACCCUCAACACCGAAGAGAAAACAGGAAACUGUUAAACAGUGGAGACCCUAAAACAGAAAAUGCAAAGAGGAGGAGUUGGUCAUUUAUCGAGGACAUUAAUGGCCUUCAUGUACUCUGGUAAAGUACCUGGAAAGUGGGAGUGUAUUGCCUGUAUUAAGGCAUCACCGGAAGCACUUAAACAAAGAAGCUGGAUGACGGUAAAGUUCUAUGUUAAAAAUCAUAUCACUGCCAUUCAGCGGUAAAGUGCAAGAAGAAUUUACUGAAUGUGUAUUGACACGUGAUGCCAUUUGCACUAGUUCUUAAGUGUUCUUAAAAUUGUAUGUUUUUGCUUUAUAAUCAUGUAGUUGGCUUGGAUGUCUUUCUGUGGAAAAGAUAUUGGUUGCUCUCAUAGAAUCUGGUUAAGUACCAGGACGGUCGGACUGUGUUACCUGCAUUAAAGGGCCUGUUAUGCUUUUCACGAUUUCACUGCUCUGCUAACAUUAUGGUGUUUUCCCAUUGUUUUGGGUGUAGUCACACCAAGCCGUGACUUGAGUCAAGUUGGUAUGCUGAGUGUUUUUACAUUACACCGCACGGUUCAGUAAAAUAAGUUGUUCACCUGUUGGAGGUGUGCUGGUCAUCUGCAGCUCUUAUCAAACAUUGCUGUGGCAGUUUCUGUUUGAAUAAUUCCCUCCCUUUUUGUAACUGAUCCAAUGAACACAGAGUUCCACAUAUCUCCAUAUCUUGUUAUAUCGACAGCUUUUUAGUGUAGCUUUUAAUGGUGGUUAUAGUUCCAGGAAUGUCGGACAGUGUUGUCUGUAUUAAGGUUUCACCAGAAGUACUUGAAACAAAGAAGCUGGUUAGAGAUAAACCUCUAUGUUAAAAACUGUAUCACUGCCAUUCACUAUGAAACUGGAAGAUACAUGUGAAUAAAUGUAUUGUUCUUUGCACUUGUGACUGGGGAUGAAUGUUUUACUGCAACUAACAAUUACUUUCAUUAUUGAUCAGUUGAUUAUCUUCUCAUUUAAUUGAUUAGUUGUUUGGUUCAGAAAAUAACUUAAAAUGUCUUGUUUUGUCCACAACCCAAAGAAAGAGGACUGAAGAAACCAGAAAAUAUUACUUUCUGGUUUCUCAUUUAAGAAGCUGGACUUUUCCUUAGAACAUUACUCAAACUGAUAAUUAGAUUAUCAAGAUAGAUGCAGAUUAAUUUGAUCGUUGACAAUUAAUCGAUGAAUCAUUGCAAGUAUAAAAAAAUGCAAAAGGGAUACAAAAUUAAAGUUUUGUGAAAAUAAGACCUUUGUCACGCCCUUUUGUACAGUAGGUCGAGGUUUUCCCACAAGAUGUAUUUUGGAAGCAAACGUUGAAUCUGAUCAUUAGAUUAAGUAGAAAGUCAUAACAUUUUGUCUCCUCUUUUGUAAGGCAGUUCUGCUGUUUGUCAUACCUGCUGGAAAUCAUUUGACAAACCAGUAUUACAUUUUUUUUGUUUUAUUUGCGACAUGUAUAUGUGUGAAAUCUGCUUGCUCAACUUUUGUCUGUUGAAAGAAUCUUGAAUGUGGAUGGUAGUGUGUUGUGUAAAUGAAUUGUAUGCUGUUAAAGGCAACAGUGUGCUAGGGUGAUAACAUCUUUAAUGUUUAACCAAUAUGACCAGGUCAAGCAAGCCUCUUACAGACGACAGGUAAUUUAUCCAUCAUGUUUAUAAACUGUUUCAUCAUGUGUUUGCCCAACAAUUAUAUUUUAGAAUCAGAAUCUGGUCUAUAUUUGAAGAAAAAUCUGGCAUCUUACAGUCUGGAUCAUUAGAUCCAAUGUUUAUUUAAUCUAAUAUUGAGGUUUUUAAUCCAACAGUAGUUAGAUUAAAUGCCUGUCAUCAAUUGUGCUGCACCUAACAGUGGAGUUGAUUGUUUGCCAAUACACACAACAUGACUGGUCCCCAGCAGGGGCAAAAGUCAGGUUUAAAAUUUUUGAGGGAGUUUUCAAUGUUUCAAGUGAUUUUCAUGUUAAGAAAAAAUUAUAAUGAUUUUAGCAGUUAAAAUCAUGUCUCUAGACCCCUCAGAAAGGGUGGAUCCCACCAGGCUGCUCCCAGUCAUUCUCACUCCCAGGGUCUCACGGUGUAGCAAAAACGGGUAUGCGUGUGUGUGUGUGUGUGUGUGUGUGUUAGUGGUCCAAACCUCUCAGAAGGUGAUGACAAGACCUCAAAACUCGGGGCU
rnacentral:lncRNA from 1 species